rnacentral:rRNA from 1 species
GAGUUUGAUCGUGGCUCAGGAUGAACGCUAGCGGCAGGCUUAAUACAUGCAAGUCGAGGGGCAGCAGGAUGGUAGCAAUACCAUUGCUGGCGACCGGCAAACGGGUGCGGAACACGUACGCAACCUACCCAAAACUGGGGAAUAGCCCGGGGAAACCCGGAUUAAUACCUCGUAACAUAACGAAGUGGCAUCACUUUAUUAUUAUAGAUUUAUUGGUUUUGGAUGGGCGUGCGCCUGAUUAGGUAGUUGGCGGGGUAACGGCCCACCAAGCCUGCGAUCAGUAACUGGUGUGAGAGCACGACCAGUCACACGGGCACUGAGACACGGGCCCGACUCCUACGGGAGGCAGCAGUAAGGAAUAUUGGUCAAUGGACGCAAGUCUGAACCAGCCAUGCCGCGUGAAGGAUGAAGGUCCUCUGGAUUGUAAACUUCUUUUAUAGGGGAAGAAAUCUCUUGAUUCUUCGAGAGUUGACGGUACCCUAGGAAUAAGCACCGGCUAACUCCGUGCCAGCCGCCGCGGUAAUACCUGGACU